rnacentral:rRNA from 1 species
CAUUACCACACCUAAAAAACUUUCCACGUGAACCGUAUCAACCCCUAUAAUUCGGGGGCUUGCUCGGCGGCGUGCGUGCUGGCCUGUAAUGGGUCGGCGUGCUGCUGCUGGGCGGGCUCUAUCAUGGGCGAGCGCUUGGGCUUCGGCUCGAGCUAGUAGCUUUUUCUUUUAAACCCAUUCUUUAAAUACUGAACAUACUGUGGGGACGAAAGUCUCUGCUUUUAACUAGAUAGCAACUUUCAGCAGUGGAUGUCUAGGCUCGCACAUCGAUGAAGAACGCUGCGAACUGCGAUACGUAAUGCGAAUUGCAGGAUUCAGUGAGUCAUCGAAAUUUUGAACGCAUAUUGCACUUCCGGGUUAGUCCUGGGAGUAUGCCUGUAUCAGUGUCCGUACAUCAACCUUGGUUUUCUUCCUUCCGUGUAGUCGGUGGAGGAUAUGCCAGACGUGAAGUGUCUUGCUGGCGGUCUUUCGAGUCUGCCGGUGAGUCCUUUGAAAUGUACUGAACUGUACUCUCUCUUUGC